ensembl:lncRNA
UCCUUUAAGAAAAGACACAGAAUCAACCAAUGACGACAUUAAGGAAAGGUUUUCUUUUAUUGGCAAAGGUAAUUUCUUUCUUUGAAUUGAGCAAUAUAUUAACUAUUGAAACAAUACUGUAAAUAUAAAUGAAUACAUAAACACUCUUGGUUUCAAAAUACAGCUUCAAACUUUUUGACUUCAAACUAUGAACAAUAUAUGAAGUGUUUUUGUAGUUCAGUAGCCCUGCGUCGUCGUACCUGGGUGAGCUUCACUUCCUGCGUCGUCCCCUGGGAUUAUCUGCCGUGUCCCCGAUUGUUUCCACACAGUCCCAGUGUAUUUAGGCCAGGUGGGUUUAUUGAGCUUCAUAUGUCGAGUGUCGUGUGGUGAGUUUUGCCCCCCAGGCCUUUUGAUUUUGUGGAAUAAAGCCGUUUUUGUUAUUGAAAUCUGCAAUUGAGUCCUUCUGCCACGUCAACCCGUGAUGCUCCGGGUUUGUCUGGUUUUACUGGCGUCAUGACACAGAAGAGCCGCGUUCGGCACGAGAGCAUAUAGUUUAUCUACCGUGUGACAUCAUUUCUAUAUUUAGUUAACGCUGUGCUGUGUAAAAUGAAGACAAGACGAAGAGAAUCAAAGGAUCUCCUGUCGUUCGCGUGAGCUUCUCGGUAUCUUCUGCUGUACCGAGGUACCUUCUGCACUAUAAGAGACGACUUGAGUCUUUCUUCUCCAGAAUUGAGUUUUAUUCCCGUUUCUUAUAUUUGUGUGUGUGUGUGGAAACGUCGCCUUUAGCGCUGUUACACAAGCGUAUUAAAGCAGGUGUUUGAGGGCCUCAGAGGCGCUGAGCUGCUGAGGGGAGUCAGGAAGUGUGACGGGGGGCUUCUUCAAGCUCGUGCAGGGAGGGGUCAACCUCCAAGACUACAGCCACUAUCUGCUGACUCCACGACGAACAGGAGUUCAGCUCCGUCUUCUCUCAUCCAACAUCAGUUCCAAAUACAAGGGAUGUGGAGACCGGACGCUUCCAUUUGCCAGCAUUGCAAAGACCACCUGUAAGAAAAGAGACGGAUCGUUCACAGAUUUCUGCUUCUUUUAGAUGGAUUUUUAUGGCAAAUGGUGCCAGAAGAACGAUAUGUUGAGAUGGAGGGUGUGUAAACGAUAAAAUAAACUUUUAUUUAGUAAUAAAAUCCCCAAAUGAUGUGCCAUGGUCCAGUUUAGUCAGCUCAAGUAAUACUAAUGAUGACUAACAGCAUCUGAAGAGUCCACCGAGGAAGUCUUCCUAAACCCCGGCAGGCUAAAGGUCACGUGGGCGCUGAGUUACUAAUUCAUCAGUCAUUGGUGAACUCCGAGCAGAUGAUUUAUUCAGGCGCAGCAGACAAAAUAAAGCUUUUAGUUUUUCCACCUUUCUUGCGUCGUUGUCUCUGGACUGUGAGUUUCUUCCUCUCGUCCACGCGAGACUCGCUGGGAUCAACACGUCCUCCGAACCGAGGCCCCCGGCACACACACACACACGCAUGUAACAUGUAAACAAUGACAAACAAACGAUAAACACACACACACACACACACACACACACACGUAAUGGACUAUUUGUCUCUGCCCAGCUGCUUAAUCAGCUCUAUUGAUUGUGUGUGUGUGUGUGUGUGGAUCACUGGUCAAUGACGUGUCUCAUGCAUUCACACAUGUUGCCUCACUGCGUAGUCGUAGAGGUUUUCUUCCAUCUGAUGCAACGCAACUGUAACACAACGCGACAAAAACACGACGCAACGCAACGAAAACCAAACACAACUCAACGUCUCGGCGACUCACAGAAGUGACCUGGUGGAUCUUCAUUGAUUUCCAUCUCUUCGACACAUUUGGCUAGUGUGACUUUUCCUGAUGGAGUAGAGACCUGUCAAUCACGCUGUAGCCCCGCCCCCAAAGCACAUUAAAUCCACUAAAAUGGGCGUUCCACUGUGUUGAAGAGGACUUAAACUAAACAUUGAGGCCACACGCUUUUGUUUAGGGAUUUCUAACCUGUCUUCAUGUGAGACUUUCAUCUGCAGGUCCUUUUCUAGAUGAAUCUUCUCCUGUUAGAGUCUGAAAUGAGAAUUUAACUUGAAGAACCACUUCCAGCCGUCGACUCGUUGUGUUGUUCACGUUUAAUCAGCACGACUGCGUCCUCUGAGUGACCAUCACGCAGGCGGCUUCCCAAAUAUCACAUCCCCCCCCACCCCCCCCCAUCCUCUCACAUGUUCUCUCUCUCAUAUCUGUAAUUAAUCCUCGCUCGCCCACGUUCUCGUUCGCCACCAGCCUGCAAUAUCGCCGCCAUUGUUUUCCGCUCCCACUUCAGUUUGAGGGAAUGUGUGUGUGUGUGUGUGUGUGUGUGUCCACACCUGGCGGCUGAUAAUUGAAGCAAAGCAGCGAGCUAGGACAGAGGAAACGAGGCAGCGGCGAAGGGAAGGAGGCACCGGACAGUAGAGACACUCCGCUUGUUGGAGUCUCACCGCCUGAAGCUUCGGUUUCAUUUUGCGUUGUUGUUUUUAUCGGUUUCGUGUCAUUUGUGUCCCUCAUAGUCUAUUUUGUUCCCGGUCACUUCUGCUCCUGGACCACGAAGCUGUCCGGUCAGAGGAACCGUCCCCCUGCAGCGGCUGGAAGACCACCGCCGUGGUCUAGAAACGGGACGGCGGGGCUGCGCGGCCCGUCCCGGCGGGCGCUUUCACGAGCGCGGCCACAAAGGGAAAUAGGACUUUCUUCCCCUGAAGCCCAGUCGGCGUGACGGAACGACGGUUCCGUGAAUGUCGGUGUUUAUUCUGCGCCGUGUGGUUUAACGGCGUGAACGCAGCUCAUGACACGUUAUGAAGAAACGAUUCGUUUCACUCAAGAAACAGUUAUUUAUUUCAUUAUCUUUUGAAUUGUGUGUUUCUUUUGAAGGCAGGAAGGAAGUUUGACUUCGGCGACGGUGAAAAUGAACAUUGUUGACCCUCGUAGACCAGCUGCUAUAAAGAAACCACAGAUCUGUAUCCGUCAAUAUUGAUCAGCAAUUCAUAGCGAAAAGACCUGAUCGGGGAUCUAAAAGUUGAAUACAUAAAACCUCCACAUGUCUCCAUGUAUCCAAGGGGGGGACAUCGCAUCUCAUCUCAUCUCAUCUCAUCUCAUCUCUCGUCGGCUGAUUCGCCUUCUGACAAACGUCCCCAAAGCCUCAUCAAUAAACGACGGUUUCAGGAGAGAAGUUACGCCGCGGAGCAGAUUCCGUCCGGUGUUUCGCUUCCUUCUCUUUUGUAAACAUUAUUGUUGGUUUCUUCUUCCAGUAACCUCCAUCUGUUCCUUCCCUCCACCUCCUCUCAUCGCGCGCUGGCAAAUGAAACUACAUUUUAUCUCCAGCGUCGUCCAAAAGGAACCAAACGUCGCCAGAAACUGCUCUAAAAAUAAUCAGCCACGGAGAUGAUUUAAUAAAUGUGAUUAAAGGCAUAAACAAGUACUCGCAUGUAUUAUUGUCGACUGUACAAACAAUACUCCAGUUGCCAUUUAGGGAGUUUUCUCUCCCGUUGUCGAGUUCUGAUGAAGCGAAGCAGCGUGAUUACAUCACAGCUGGAAACCGUGUUGUGAUCAAGUUACAGAUGAAUUCCAUCUGAAAUACUGUAGUUUUCAGUAAAUAAACACGCGCUGGAGUUCUCACUCUUCACCUAAAUGAUUUGUCCGUGAUGCUUUUCUUAUAAAAGUGAGGAGGACGUCACCAUUUAAGGAUUGAGAAUUAUGUACGUCUGUGUUGUCGACCUGUCAAUCAUCGUGUAGCCCCGCCCUGAAGCAUCAAAACGAAAGAUUGAGACCCAUUUUGGGGAUGGAUGACUUGUAGUAACUCACUUUUUAGGUGGACGGUUGCAAAAAGAAGGCGGUUCUUCUGAAGGGCGAGUAAAUGAAAGAGAAACAGACAAAGGGCCACAGAUGAACUCGGCCAGGGAGCGGAUCAGAAAUCAAAUUGAGCGUAAUGGCUCACUACUCGCACUACUUACACUUAAUAACGAUCUACAAAAUGUCUGAAAAUAAUUGAUCACCAAAUCUGCAGCUGCUCUCGACUCGGCUGAGCUUCGCAGGCUUCUGCUCGCGGUCGCUGGGAGUCGGUGGGGACCAAAGCCGGAGCUAAAAGGAAUCUCCACCUCGAGAACAUUGGUAUCAUCACUGAUACCUGAAUUCAUCCCAAGGCUUUAUUCUCAACCUGUGGCCAAAGAGGAUAUUCACUCGUUACAGAUGGAAGAUUGAAGCUGAUAUUAGGCACUGAACUACAAAUCAAACCUGAUAUUUGUCGUACUCUCCAGUGUCUCUUAUCGGUUCCUUCUGUUCCUCCUUAGUCUCUUUAUUGCCUCAGGCUUUUCUCUGUUCAUUCAGUUUGUCGCCGGGCUUUUCAGAUUCAUGUCUCUGUAAAGCUCUGAACCUUUUUACAAAGAAUGACUCACAGCAGGGAGUCUAUCACUGACUCCGGAUAACCUCUACAGGAGGACUGAUGACCUCAACAGGAGGUCUGAUGACCUCUAGAGAAGGACUGGUGACAUCUGGAGAAGGGCUGAUGACCUCAACAGGAGGUCUGAUGACCUCUAGAGAAGGACUGAUGACAUCUGGAGAAGGACUGAUGACCUCUAGAGAAGGGCUGAUGACAUCUGGAGAAGGGCUGAUGACCUCUACAGGAGGACUGAUGACCUCUAGAGAAGGACUGAUGACUUCUAGAGAAGGACU